GCGAGAGUAGUGUAGUGGUCUCAUCACUCCGGAUUUUGAAAUGAGAGAAAUUCCGGCAACCCCGGUUCGACUCCGGGCUUUCGCU